rnacentral:rRNA from 1 species
UCCUACGGGAGGCAGCAGUGGGGAAUAUUGCACAAUGGGGGAAACCCUGAUGCAGCCAUGCCGCGUGUGUGAAGAAGGCCUUCGGGUUGUAAAGCACUUUCAGUUGUGAGGAAAAGUUAGUAGUUAAUACCUGCUAGCCGUGACGUUAACAACAGAAGAAGCACCGGCUAACUCCGUGCCAGCAGCCGCGGUAAUACGGAGGGUGCGAGCGUUAAUCGGAAUUACUGGGCGUAAAGCGCACGCAGGCGGUUUGUUAAGCUAGAUGUGAAAGCCCCGGGCUCAACCUGGGAUGGUCAUUUAGAACUGGCAGACUAGAGUCUUGGAGAGGGGAGUGGAAUUCCAGGUGUAGCGGUGAAAUGCGUAGAUAUCUGGAGGAACAUCAGUGGCGGAGGCGACUCCCUGGCCAAAGACUGACGCUCAUGUGCGAAAGUGUGGGUAGCGAACAGGAUUAGAUACCCUGGUAGUCCACACCGUAAACGCUGUCUACUAGCUGUGUGUGCCUUUAAGGCGUGCGUAGCGAAGCUAACGCGCUAAGUAGACCGCCUGGGGAGUACGGCCGCAAGGUUAAAACUCAAAUGAAUUGACGG